rnacentral:sRNA from 1 species
CUUUAACAAUCUGGAACAAGCUGAAAAUUGAAACACACAUUAUUGAAAAAUAGUGUGGGGAACUCUCAAAACUCCAAGUUGAAGUGUUAUGCAAAUAGGCAG